rnacentral:rRNA from 1 species
GACGAACCGUACGAACGUUAUUCGGAAUUACUGGGCUUAAAGGGUGCGUAGGCGGCGCGACAAGUUGGGUGUGAAAUCCCUCGGCUCAACCGAGGAACUGCGCCCAAAACUGUCGUGCUCGAGGGAGACAGAGGUGAGCGGAACUUAGGGUGGAGCGGUGAAAUGCGUUGAUAUCCUAAGGAACACCGGUGGCGAAAGCGGCUCACUGGGUCUCUUCUGACGCUGAGGCACGAAAGCUAGGGUAGCGAACGGGG